UAUUAAUAAGUUCUAUCCAAGGGAUUUCAUGAGGAUUCACUGAGGCGAUACAUAUAAAACACUUAGAAAAGCUUCUGUUACAUGAGAAACUGUCCAUGAGAGUUUACUAUUACUCACUCUACCACUACGAUUAUUGUUACUAUCAUUACCAUCAUCAUCUUACACUUUGUCUUCUCUCUGCUAGGACAAUGGAGGACCAGAGUGAUGUACCCUUAAUGCAAUAAAGGGAGUAACUCCGAUAGUGGCUGACAUUUCUUGGACAUGUCCUACGUGCAAAAACUUUACUUUGAGACGAAGAGGAAUUUUGCCCCAGGAUGGAUCAUGCCCAGAGUCUCCUCAUAUCCGCUUUGGAUAAUCUGGAUGAUAAGAUCCGGGACUUUUGAGCUGAUGAUCCUCAGAUGAAAUUUUGGAUUUUUUGAAUUGAUGCCAUAAUGGGCUGAGACCUCGCCAUUCUUAAAGUCACAGAGGGAAGAGCUGGACAGAGCAGAGCCAAACUCCCAUGUGUGGUGGGCUUCUGGACCAUCUGAAUGUCUUGGCUGUGGGCAUCCCAGAGCCAUGUUAGGGACAAAGACACAGGAGGUGUUCAGGACGUGUUUCCUCAGUGAAGGGCCUGAUGACUGACAACACACGGAAGCUUCUCACAAACCUAACCCUGACAAGCUCUAGAAGGGAAGCCAUCAUUAUCAACCCUUAGGGAGAUGGGGCAUCGGAAGAGUCUACACAUCCUGCUUGUGUGCAGCUGCUGAGAACUCUGUGGAGUCCAGGAAAACGUGGUAGAGCUGUGGCCACCAAGUUCUGUGCAGCUGCAGAAACAGAUGGCACUCCUCCAAGGAUGGAGAAGCGGAGGCCUUGGUCACAUGACACGCGGAUUCUUCUAGUGUCCAGACAAGCAUUACUCUGAUCUGCUGACCAGAGAAGGACAGACGCCCGGGUGUCCGGAAAGGGCCGUGGACAGAGUUUUGAAGGUUCAUCCCUUUUCUAUCAACCUAUGAUCGUACAACGUCCAUGUUAUGUCUUCCCAAGUGCACUUGUGGAUAGCCGAGCUUUGUCCUGAGAUGACCAAGAGGAAAGCUUCGACGAGCUGCCUUUGUCGCGUCAACAAAAGAAGAAUCGGACAGAAAUCUUUCCAGAGGCCACUUGUGGAGCAGCUCCGCAUUCAGUGGGCUCUGUUCAGCGGCCACAUGAGAUACAGCGGGGCGAGGGGAAGGGACCGAGGUUAAUUCUUGAGUGUUCAAGGUAUGGACUCUCUCAAGCCCUGGGUUCUCCCCCACUUCCAUGUGCCUCCUGGGCCCCCGGUCAUUUUCACUGCUCAUUACCACGAGCACCAGAGGGAAGGCAGGGGAAAUGAAGGCGGAUGAAAUUCAAAUGGAUCCAUCCUGCCACUUGUUAGCAGCUCAGCUCACAAGUACACAAAGGGGGAGGAGGCUGCAGUUCUGUGGGUUUCAAAGCUCCCUGCUAUUCUUGUCCCUCGUGCUGCCAGGCAAUAUCGAGUGGGCUGUAUGGAAAUGAUCUGUGGGAUGAAAGAAGAAAGGAGGGGGGAAGCAGGCUCCAUCAGUCGCUUCUUCGAAUAAAAGGGAAAGGAAUUAUAUGCUCGGUGGCAGCGUGCCAUGCAGAGUAGCCCAAAUUUUAUUAAACAAACUCGUGUUUGGAAGCAUCUUAUUCCCUCAGCACUGGAGGGAAAGGGAUGCUGAGACCGUAUUUAGAGCAAUUAUAAUGCAGAGGAUGCACUGAUGGUCAUAGCAGCAAAAAGAAAAUGAGAAAGUAUUCUUGAGAGCUGCUUCCAAGGACGGCAGAGGCAGAAACAAGCAAGGGCCGUAUCAAAACCUUAAAGGAUAAUGAAAGGGAAGAAAAACACAGUAAUCCUUUAAGCCCACUCCCCCUAACACAAAUAGGCGGGCAGGGAGUGGAUGGAACUGUGUUGCAGAAGGAGGUGCCCUCCUCUCUGAGCUUAUGGAACAGGAAGGAGGAGGCCUGUGGUUACCACGGUCCUGUCGUGCUCUGUGGUGGACGCUGUGAUACGCCAUCCAAAUGCCCCUCUAAUGAAGGGCUUGUUCCAGCUGCUGGGAGUGCUGGGGGCAGAGAACUUUCCGCUGUCAGCUUCUUCGGGGCUUGUCUCUGUGUGGCAGAGGGUGGCUCUGCCCUCCAGGGACAGCCUACAUCCAAUGACUGACCGAUGUAGGAGGAUAAAGGCCUGGCCUGCUCAGCCCAACCUGGGGCAGCUCCGAAGGGCCACUGGAGAGAUACAGCGGGGCGAGGGGACUCAGAGCUGCCUGAGGGGUUGCCUGAGGUUGUCGUUGGGUAUGCAUUACAGCUCAACUUCUCUCUCCUGUCCAUCUCAUCCCGCCCACAAAUGUUG